rnacentral:rRNA from 1 species
CAUAGGUUAAUGAGGCGAACCGGGGGAACUGAAACAUCUAAGUACCCCGAGGAAAAGAAAUCAACCGAGAUUCCCCCAGUAGCGGCGAGCGAACGGGGAGGAGCCCAGAGCCUGAAUCAGUGUGUGUGUUAGUGGAAGCGUCUGGAAAGGCGCGCGAUACAGGGUGACAGCCCCGUACACAAAAAUGCACAUACUGUGAGCUCGAUGAGUAGGGCGGGACACGUGGUAUCCUGUCUGAAUAUGGGGGGACCAUCCUCCAAGGCUAAAUACUCCUGACUGACCGAUAGUGAACCAGUACCGUGAGGGAAAGGCGAAAAGAACCCCGGCGAGGGGAGUGAAAAAGAACCUGAAACCGUGUACGUACAAGCAGUGGGAGCCUCUUAAUGGGGUGACUGCGUACCUUUUGUAUAAUGGGUCAGCGACUUAUAUUCUGUAGCAAGGUUAACCGAAUAGGGGAGCCGAAGGGAAACCGAGUCUUAACUGGGCGUUAAGUUGCAGGGUAUAGA